rnacentral:snoRNA from 1 species
GGUGCUCAUUGUUAGAGCCUGGAGUCGAGGCCAUUGGCUGGCUGUGGACUCCAAAUAGUGUAGAUAGUGUGCUACCUGAGCGACAAUGGUCUCUGGCUCAGUGAAUGCAGUUGGAUAGUAAUCCUAGUGAUAAGU